UACGUAGGGGGCAAGCGUUGUCCGGAAUCAUUGGGCGUAAAGAGCGUGUAGGCGGCCCGACAAGUCCGCCGUGAAAGUCCAGGGCUCAACCCUGGAAUGCCGGUGGAAACUGUCGGGCUUGAGUUCGGAAGAGGCGAGUGGAAUUCCUGGUGUAGCGGUGAAAUGCGCAGAUAUCAGGAGGAACACCAAUGGCGAAGGCAGCUCGCUGGGACGACACUGACGCUGAGACGCGAAAGCGUGGGGAGCAAACAGG
rnacentral:rRNA from 1 species